GGCCGGGCACUCUGGAUGGACUGCCGGCGACAAGCCGGAGGAAGGUGGGGAUGACGUCAAGUCAUCAUGGCCCUUAUGUCCAGGGCGACACACGUGCUACAAUGGCCGGCACAGCGGGAAGCGAGGGGCGACCUUGAGCGGAUCCCUCGAAAGCCGGUCCCAGUUCGGAUUGCAGUCUGCAACUCGACUGCAUGAAGUUGGAAUCGCUAGUAAUCGCGGAUCAGCCAAGCCGCGGUGAAUACGUUCCCGGGCCUU
rnacentral:rRNA from 1 species